CGCAGUCCGCGGUUGCAAAGGCUGUCACUAGGUGGCUAAAUAUUCCAGUGUGUUUAGGGAUUAAGGUGUUUAGGGAUGUAGGGGGUUUGUUUUUGUUUUCAAAGUGCUGGUUACUUUCUUUCCUGACAUUUUCUGCUAUUCUUCUACAAGGUUAUUUAAAAAUGAAAUUUUGUGUUUGGUGAAUUUACAGGUAACGUGUACUGGAAUUUAUACUUGGCAAUUCCGUUUGAUCAUAUGGCCUGCCGUUCAAUUUCCCAAAAUGUCGUCUCUUGCUUUUGCUGUAUUAUGCACGUUUCGUCACUAGAUGAGAUGUUUCCACGCCAUUCGACCAAGCUGAACCGAUAGUGAACCAUUUAAAACGACAUGUCAAAGAUCUUCCCUUUCACUACGUGUUCACUGCCUUUGCAUGAAGUUGCGUCUUUGAGAGGGUCUCUACUAUGGCAAAUGUGAUGAAAAGAGGAAAUCUGAAUAGGUAAUCAAGUACUUGUAAACUAAAUAAAGAGGUGGCUUUGUUGCAGCCAGCUGGUGAAAGGGAGUUCAAGUCAAGUUGAGCUGCAGCUUCUGGAAGCAGUCUACAGCGCUGAUGUCAUCCUGAAGUGGAGAAGUGUUACCUGAAGUGUAACUACAAAAAAUACAUCUUGAAAUGGACGUGGUGAUAAUGUGAUGCAUCAGCAUGCAGUCUAUGCAGGUGGUGUUUUCGAGAAGUGUAUAAGCAAGACUUUGAAGCUUAGUCUGAAGAAUAUUUUCUGAAAUGUCAAAAGUCAACUCUAAACUGACGCAGGAAUUAAGUGACAGAGCCCACAACUCUUCCCGUCUUUCGUGUUGAUUCCGUUGUCCAUAAUAAUGAUGGAUUACUCACGUUAUGUGCCUGGCAUGUAUAUCAUUCGCUUUCCCCUCCCUGGCCGUGAACUUGGGGAAUUAGGAAGCCAUGGUUGUAGUGCGUGUUUGAUCCAGCGUGACUUUCAUCACCUUCACACAAUUCCAUGGCGUCACGUGAAGAAACGAGAAUCAAUAACGAUUCCGGUCUGUUGACGAUAUCGAGAAGUCUUGGUUUCCAUUCAGCCACACAAGAUAUUGCAUAUAUUGAAUCGGGAUCGUUAAAAACAUCACGUGUCGUUGCACCUUAACGACGAUGGGCGUAUUUGGUUGCGCCACGUUGACUUUAAAAGAGGAAGGAAGAGAGUGAGAGCGCGGGGGGGUUUCCGACCUCCAGAGGCGAGAGAGAAAAACGUCGAAAUCUUCUUCUUCUUCUUUUUGUAAAAGACUUUGGCAGCAACCUCCUCCUCCUGUAACACAAGACUCUUGUAUACUACUCACAUAUUCAGCAGCCUCUUACGUGUUCUUUGUUUGCCCGGCACUUAUCCAGGUAGUCACCAUAGAGGAUAGGUUAGAAAAGCCUACGACUCUAGUCUGCACGUGUUCAGUUGCCGGCCGAGUGUCGAGACUUGCACAACGAUCUCAGCAAACUACUUGGAAGAGACCAGGUGAUGAGAAUAUGAUGGCCAACUUGUUGAUGUUCCUCACCGCUGCGUUCCUGAUUUCGUCCGGAAGCAUUCAUUCAGCUUCUGCCAAGAACAGAAGGACGUCAAUGGCAGGAGAGUUGGCGUUUUGUAAGAAACACUUCAGAACAAAUCAGGCAACU